rnacentral:ribozyme from 1 species
GCUGCUCUAUAACCACACAGCUCUACGCGGUGAGCAGCAGGGAACAAUCUAUGGAUUGGCUGAGAUGCGAAG